GCCGAAGGAACUGCAUUCGGACGCCAGCCCCGCUGGAUGCCGAGGAUGGAGAGGCAGCCUGACCCGAGGAGCGCUUCUCCAUAGAGCCAAGCCCUGAGAUUUCCUAGAGGGUGUUCGGCUACCCUUUGGACAGCUGUGGAAGGUUCCGCUGGCAGCACCCAGCAGUGGUCGCAAGCUCUCUCUGGGCACCUUGCUAGCAGCUGGAAGAAAGUCCAGAUGCCCAAAGCCAGUUCCCAGUGGGCCCUUCAGAAGCACUCCGUCCUGGGUCUUCCAGAAAUGGUCAUCUCCUUCAGAAUGGGAUCCACGCCUUCGCAAGCACUCCUGCGAGCUGUCAAUCGAUUUUCUAAAUUUCCUUUUCUUUUGCUUGUCACCUCCUCGGCCACCUCCUCUUCCCAUCCUCCUUUCUACAAACUGCAUCUUGCUCUCUUGUGUUUUCAUUCUCCUCUUUGCCCAAACCCAACAUUUUCAUUUCAGCCUGUCCACGUUUGCUAGCAGAGAGCAAAGAAAGAACUCACAGACCCCUUGCCUCCAAUGCAGCCUACUCUCUCCUUUGGGAGUCUAAUUCAAGGUCUAACCUCCUCCGGGCAUGCUUUUUAGUGACCUAAGCCUAAAUUGAUUUCUGUAACCAUUUCCGGGAUUUGCGAGUGAGAGGGGACAUUUGCCCAACAUCACACUCUGAUUCUACCUGCCGCGUGUAGAGAUGUGAGGACAGUUGACUCCGUGACUGAGAGAUACACCUUGCCUGUAUCAUCCAGAACUUGGUUGAACUCAAGGCCCUGCACUUGCGGAGAAAACGCUCCACUACUGAGCUAUAUCCCAAGCCCCCUUCCUACUUUUAUUUUGAGACAGCCUCAGGAUGUCACCCAGGCUGCACCACAGGUAGCCCAGAAAACCUCGAACUUGAAAUUGCCCCACCUUGGCCUCCUGAGGAACUGGAAUCCCACACCUGAGCCACCCAGCCAGGCUUCUACCAUCCACAAACUUCUCCAAAAACUACCUUGGGACCACUCAGACGCGGGAAUUUGUAAUGUUAUUUUCCCUGCUUUGCAAGGAAGACAUUUGCUUCCUCCUAUUCUGCCUACAAGGCAGGCAAUAUCUCCAGGAGAAAAUGGGGGAUUGCACUUUGGAGCAUUGUGUAUUGAGGAAAAUCUCUUGCCUCGGGCUGCUAAGGACGUAGUUGAAUGUAUUCUGCCA